GCGGAGGGAUCAUUACCGAGUUUACAACUCCCAAACCCCUGUGAACAUACCACUUGUUGCCUCGGCGGAUCAGCCCGCUCCCGGUAAAACGGGACGGCCCGCCAGAGGACCCCUAAACUCUGUUUCUAUAUGUAACUUCUGAGUAAAACCAUAAAUAAAUCAAAACUUUCAACAACGGAUCUCUUGGUUCUGGCAUCGAUGAAGAACGCAGCAAAAUGCGAUAAGUAAUGUGAAUUGCAGAAUUCAGUGAAUCAUCGAAUCUUUGAACGCACAUUGCGCCCGCCAGUAUUCUGGCGGGCAUGCCUGUUCGAGCGUCAUUUCAACCCUCAAGCCCUCGGGUUUGGUGUUGGGGAUCGGCGAGCCCUUGCGGCAAGCCGGCCCCGAAAUCUAGUGGCGGUCUCGCUGCAGCCUCCAUUGCGUAGUAGUAAAACCCUCGCAACUGGAACGCGGCGCGGCCAAGCCGUUAAACCCCCAACUUCUGAAUGUUGACCUCGGAUCAGGUAGGAAUACCCGCUGAACUUAAGCAUAUCAAUAAGCGGAGGA
rnacentral:rRNA from 1 species